CAGUGUUAGGCUUCGGCCUCAUGCACACCCCUUGUUUAACCCCCGGUUCUUUGGCGAUGUCAUGGACUCGUCAAACUUUAACUCUGGUAAUGUGAUACCGUCCGAGUGCGAUUGAAUUAUCA
rnacentral:misc_RNA from 1 species